rfam:Oryza sativa Japonica Group DNA, chromosome 6, cultivar: Nipponbare, complete sequence.
AAGUUGCCUGUGAUGGUGUUAAAUAUAUUUUGAGCUUUCAGCUAUGAAAAAUCAUUUUAAUCUGAGGCACUCC